rnacentral:misc_RNA from 1 species
AAGACUAUAGACCUGCGGAGUACCUGCGGAAGGAUCAUUAACAAAUCUGAGUUGUGGGUGUGUGGUGCGUGCAUGUAUGCGUCAAGUGUACACCGUGCACAAUCCGCUCGCCUGCACAUUUACCCCGAGCCGGUCUAAACAGCCGGCUUUGGUUUGAGCCUUUGGGCUCAGGCGAUGGCUGUACGGUGUAGGGAGGGGAGGGGGGAGAGCAGCGCUGCUGCCUUUCCCUCUCUCUUCUCC